UUUAUGCCCAGCGUGCUGUGCUGUGCUGUGUGUGCCUGCAGGUCAUAUUUAUCUGCCUGUCAGGACUGUCGGAGCACUGGAUGGAGAGCAGGUCAUAUGAAGAGGAUUAGGGAGUAAAAGGCAGCUUGUACUGAAGUGCAGGGAAAGUAUAAAUAUUGAUAUAUAUUGGCACAGUGCCUGGCCUUAAUGCUUAAAAUCCUUUGGAGAGCUGUCUGCAUAUUUACUGUAUUAAUGAUCAAAUGCAAGGCUGUGUUGGGAAAGGUCUUCCAUUUGGAAGUCAGUAGUUGAGACUGUCUUGCCUAUGAAAAAGAGGGAGAAUUUUUGUUAGAGGAUGUAGGAUUCUGGCUGGUAAUAGUCUUAAUUCAAGGUAUUUUUAGAGAAUUGAUUUAAUACAAGCAGAACAAAUGGCCAGAAGUGUAAUGAGAGACAAGUUGAAAUUAGAAAGUAGAUGUGCAUUUUGAAUGUAUUGUCAUAGCAACUGAUUCAAUUCUCCCUCUCUUGCUGUUCUGGGGACCUUUUAAAUGUGCUUUGGCUAAAUAAAAAGUAUUAGACUAUUUCAGAGCCAAAAGGUCAGUUCUUGUUGUCUCUUUUGCACUUUAAUUCUAGUACACUGAUACUUGCUAACCACUUAUAACCCUAGAUGCAGAAUGAGAACUUGGGUUAUUAACAAUAAAGAAGUAAACAGCAGAAAGACUUGACCUUUCUUUUGAAUUGCCCUGUGGUGUUAAAAAAUACCAAACAAACCUCCUUCCCCAAAGAAACACCCCCAAAAUACCCCAAGAACUCACCAAACAGAAAAUCACCGACAACCAAAAAGCAGAAGUAACAAACAUGAACAGCAAGUGGAGGAAGAGUUUGAAAGCGGGCUGGACAGAACCAGAAGUGUUACUGCCCACUCUUAGGCCACUGUGCUGAUUAAAUGGGUGUUGUUAGGUUUAGAUCAGUAGUUCGUUGUUGUUGGGUUUUUCGGUGGUGUUGAUUUUUUUGUUGUCGUUGUGGGGGAUUGUUUGUUUGUUUGUUUUAUUUUGUUUUUUUUCUGUAUUAAAAAUCUGGCUCAGUUACUCUCUAGUUCUGGUGUGUUUUCUUUUCCAGGUGGUUGGUGUUUCUGCAGUGUUUGGCACAGGACUGGGGGAGAUUUUUACCCAGCUUUCUAAAGCUGUAGAUGAAUAGGAGAGACUGAAUGCACUCCCUUUAUUCACCUUUUCAGAGAGUAUCGUCCAGAAUACGAGCGCCUGAGAAAAACACUGGACAGUUCUCUGCAGGCACAGCUACACAGAGUUUGGCUUCCCGGCGCUGCUGAAAACAUCCUAGAAUCCCACCUGACUGGAGGUUGCUUUCCACGCUUAGUCAGAAGUUCUGUGAAACCUUAGUUGAAAUGUAAGACCUGCAUAGUGACUUCUGCUCUCUGACUGGGGGACAGGCUGCUGGGUUUGGGUGAGGUUUCUCUUCUCCUAAUGUUUUAAAUGUUCUCAGAAUCCACAGGUAAAUCUUUGUCUACGGGAGAAAGCUCAAAAUAAACAAAAGAGAGAGCAGCUGGAACACUUGUGGAAGGACAUGGGCAGCGUGUGUGUGCAGGGCAGCACAGUGGCAGGACCUGAUGCUUCUGCAAUGGGUCCCUCUGAGCUAAUACUAACACAAGGAACUCUCGAUGAAGAGCAAGAAGAGAGGGAGAGUGACGCUGAUGGCAUUGACCAUGAAGGUAAGGGAAUGAGGUCUAAAAGCUGCCUCUCAAGAAAUCCCCUCUAUAUUUCAUGUCCUGGAUGGACUGUAAGGAGAGCCUAGAAAACAAGCAAACAUUCAGUCACCUGACGUGUCAGAAUCUGUAGCAGAAGCUCAGCUGCAAUGGUCAGUGCAGGGAUAUCACUCUGUAACCUUUGUGAAAGUUCAAUUGUAAAUUUUCUAUUCAAGUAAUUAAUAGGUGUAUAAUACACAUAGACCAGAGAACUCGUUAGGCUUGGGGCAUGCAGUGACCUCUGAACCUGAUUGAUGCACAGAUGUGUCCAUCAUCUUUUUGGCCUUACAGUUUCUGCCCCUGGCACUCUUCCCUUUUCCUGUGACUGUGGUCUUGGAGCAAUCUUCUAAGUUGUUACAGUGUGAUUUUUCUCUUCUAUAGCUCACAGACUUAAUCUUCAUUCUUUCCCUGUUCCACUGAUGGGUAGGAUCACUUAUUUCCUUUGCCCUGUAAUGUAGCUGAAGAUGGAAUAGACUUUCUGUGUUGCUUUGGCUA